CUAUAUUACUCUGCUGUCAACAGACUGACCUAGAGGUAGUUGUGGGUCUAUAUUACUCUGCUGUCAACAGACUGAGCUAGACUGACCUAGAGGUAGUUGUGGGUCUAUAUUACUCUGCUGUCAACAGACUGAGCUAGACUGACCUAGAGGUAGUUGUGGGUCUAUAUUACUCUGCUGUCAACAGACUGACCUAGAGGUAGUUGUGGGUCUAUAUUACUCUGCUGUCAACAGACUGACCUAGAGGUAGUUGUGGGUCUAUAUUACUCUGCUGUCAACAGACUGACCUAGGGGUAGUUGUGGGUCUAUAUUACUCUGCUGUCAACAGACUGAGCUAGACUGACCUAGAGGUAGUUGUGACUAUAUUUUGCAAAAGUACUUCCCAAAAUUCACCAGAUUUCCAUAAAUCCCAGGUUGUAGGAUUCCCAGAUUCCCCUUCUCGAUUUUAGGAAUCUGGGAUUAAUAUAUAUAUAUAGAUAAUAAAAUAAAAAUAUAUAAGGGGGGGCAUGUCUUAUGGCACCUGAAUUAAUUAUAUUUACACAAUUAUGACAAUCUGUGAAUGUUGUUGUUAGUUGAGCUGGACUGGGGGUAGAGAUGCACUGGAUGUCGUUACGUAUUGGAUUUAAAAGGUUUGAUGCAUUGCACUGUGAAGAUCCAUCCAUCUGUUACCUGGUUUUCUGCAAGGACCUCUGUUUUCAUUUAAACUACCAGCUGAAGGAAUACCGGAGGGACAUUUUUUUAUUUUUUCCCCCUCUUGUUUUGAAGAUGAUUUAAAAAAAUAAAAAAUUCUGCAAAAAUAAAAAA